CCUACGGGCGGCAGCAGUGGGGAAUAUUGGGCAAUGGGCGCAAGCCUGACCCAGCAACGCCGCGUGAAGGAAGAAGGCUUUCGGGUUGUAAACUUCUUUUGUCAGGGAAGAGUAGAAGACGGUACCUGACGAAUAAGCCACGGCUAACUACGUGCCAGCAGCCGCGGUAAUACGUAGGUGGCAAGCGUUGUCCGGAUUUACUGGGUGUAAAGGGCGUGUAGCCGGGUUGACAAGUCAGAUGUGAAAUCCUGCGGCUUAACCGCAGAACUGCAUUUGAAACUGUUGAUCUUGAGUACUGGAGAGGCAGACGGAAUUCCUAGUGUAGCGGUGAAAUGCGUAGAUAUUAGGAGGAACACCAGUGGCGAAGGCAUCUCACGAAUCCGCGAUUGACGCUGAUGCACGAAAGCGUGGGUAUCAAACAGGAUUAGAUACCCGAGUAGUC
rnacentral:rRNA from 1 species